GAACCACUGUUGAAACCACCCCUAACCUCAAAGUAUUGAAAAAUAAAUAACAAUGGCACUGGGGAAAAGAACUCUGGAGCUUGCAGCAAAGUGGAUACCAUCAGCUACUCUCUAUGGAGGAGUCGGCGGCCUCAGCCUCCUAUACUUCACCGACUGGAGAGUCAUUGUUGAACAGAUUCCAAUCUAUAAUGGAAAAUUCAAAGACACCACGAAAUGAAAUACGUAAAUUUAGCCAAAAUUAUUGGUCUUUGUUUUAAAAUAUGAAAUGUAGUCAAAUCUUCAAUAAUUCAAUUCAAUCAAUUUCAAUCCUUAAUAAUUGUUAUUUAUUCAUAACCUACGCCAUGGAAAUAUAUUUACAGCUAUUCACAUGUU